rnacentral:rRNA from 1 species
CAAUAGCGUAUAUUAAAGUUGUUGCAGUUAAAAAGCUCGUAGUUGGAUUUGUGGUGUGUCCCUUUGGUGUCUUGGCUUAGCCUUGUUCACUGUUUGGGUCCGCCAUGUUUGGGUGGAAUCUGUGUGGCAUUAGGUUGUCGCGCAGGGGAUGCCCAUCGUUUACUGUGAAAAAAUUAGAGUGUUCAAAGCAGGCUUAUGCCGUUGAAUAUAUUAGCAUGGAAUAAUGAUAUAGGACCUUGGUACUAUUUUGUUGGUUUGCGCACUGAGGUAAUGAUUAAUAGGGACAGUUGGGGGUAUUCGUAUUCCAUUGUCAGAGGUGAAAUUCUUGGAUUUUUGGAAGACGAACUACUGCGAAAGCAUUUACCAAGGAUGUUUUCAUUAA